rnacentral:ncRNA from 1 species
CGUCUCCUCCAUGAUGUCUCGACUGACAUGGGUUGGCCCCGCCGCGCGGAUGCAGGCGGGGCUUUUUUU